GAGCUACAUCCCUAGAUCUUUUUUAUUUUUUAUUUUGAGACAGGAUCUCACAAAGUUGCUGAGGCUUGUCUUGAAUUUGCAAUUCUCCUGCCUCAGUCUCCCUAGCCUCUGGGAUUAUAGGUGAGUGUCACUGUACUUGGCUGCUUCCAGCUUUUGACUGAAGAAGAUUAGACAUAUUAUUAACAUUUGGGGUUGGUGAAGUGUCUAUUCUGCCCUGAACAAUAAGGUUGCCCCUAGCUUCCUCUGCCUAUUUAAAAUUAAAGUCAAUUAAAACUAAAGGUUCAGUUUCUUAUUCAUACUAGUUAUAUUUACACUUUUAUGUACAAGAGACUAUAGAUGAUUUCUUCACAUAUAGUUAUGAUUUUUCCCUUGCAACAAAGAGUUUAUGGGGAGGUAUUUAAGAUCAUGCCAAUAUCCUACUCUUUGUUGAACCUUCCCCUGAGAUUCAGCAUCAUUGAUGUUUUUUGUCAGGACUAAUUUUCACAACAAGGACUACAAAUCUAGUACUUCUCCAGUUGUAUUUCUUUUACUUGGUAGAGACUAC
rnacentral:lncRNA from 1 species